rnacentral:rRNA from 1 species
UGAGGAAUAUUGGUCAAUGGAGGCAACUCUGAACCAGCCACGUCGCGUGAAGGAUGACGGCCCUACGGGUUGUAAACUUCUUUUAUACAGGAAUAAAGUGAGUCACGUGUGACUUUUUGCAUGUACUGUAUGAAUAAGGAUCGGCUAACUCCGUGCCAGCAGCCGCGGUAAUACGGAGGAUCCAAGCGUUAUCCGGAUUUAUUGGGUUUAAAGGGUGCGCAGGCGGGGGAUUAGGUCGGCGGUGAAAUAUCAGGGCUCAACCUUGAGAGUGCCGUCGAAACCGGUUUUCUUGAGUGCGGAUGAAGUAGGCGGAAUUUGUGGUGUAGCGGUGAAAUGCGUAGAUAUCACAAAGAACACCGAUUGCGGAGGCAGCUUACUAAACCGCAACUGACGCUCAUGCACGAAGGCGUGGGGAUCAAACAGG